CAAGAUGAAGUCACCUACCCAGGUCCUCCUAUCCCUGCUGCUUUGGGUGUCUGGUGCCUGUGCAGACAUCAUGAUGACCCAGUCUCCAUCCUCCCUGGCUGUUUCAGCAGGAGAGAAGGUCUCCAUCAGCUGCAGGUCCAGUCAGAGUCUUUAUUACAAAGAUUAUUUAUUACAAAAGAAUUUAUUGUCCUGGUACCAGCAGAAACCAGGGCAAUCCCCUAAGCUGCUGAUCUACCAUGCAUCCACUCGGCAAACUGGGGUCCCUGAUCGCUUCACAGGCAGUGGGUCUGGAACAGAUUUCACUCUCACCAUCAGCAGUGUACAGGCUGAAGACCUGGCAGUUUAUUACUGUCAGCAGGGUAUUAGUACUCCUCCCACAGUGCUUCAAGCUAAAUCUGAGGCAGAGACUGAGCCUCUUGAACUUCUUCCUCUAACUGACACCCCAUUUUUCUGUGCUGCUUUUAAUGUAUCUCUCAAAACUCUGGCAUGGUAUGAAAGAGGCUUCACUGCUGUCAUCAUUGGAUAUUUACCUGUCCUGGUUAAGGAGAUCUCCUACAUGAUCUUUAUGAAAAUUUACUGCUGUUCAGAUGAAUUAAUGAUUUCAUAG